AUGUCUGUAGGCAUCUUGGUAUGGAAUGUGAGGGGACUUAAUAAUCCCGCACGGCGAGCGUCCAUUAGGAUGUUCCUGCAAUCCUGCAAUGUUUCGCUUGUUUGUUUGCAAGAAUCUAAAUUGGAAGUGGUGGACGUGUCGGUGGUGUUGGCCAGACCUUGGGGCCGGGCUUCGAUGGCUUUGAGUAUUUGCCAGCCAUGGGCACCAGGGGGCAUUCUUGUGGCAUGGAAAUCGGAUUUGCUGUGGGUUUCGGUGAUAAACAAAGGAGAAUUCUCAAUCACAAGCAACAUCACUUCUCUUGAGAAUGGCAGGGAAUGGGUGUGCACCUCUGUGUAUGGGCCGCAAGCUUUGGAGGACAAGGUGAGGUUCCUGCAGGAAAUUGAGCUUAUUGGGCAAUAA
rnacentral:rRNA from 1 species